rnacentral:rRNA from 1 species
CCUGAAACCGUGUACGUACAAGCAGUGGGAGCCCCACCACCAAAGCAUUCUCUGGUGUUGAAGGCCCUGCAAAGCAGCAUCGCGGUGGCGGAGCGUCGUUUGCGACGCCCAACACACAAAACAAGCGGUGAGUGCUUUGGGGUGGGGUGACUGCGUACCUUUUGUAUAAUGGGUCAGCGACUUAUAUUCUGUAGCAAGGUUAACCGUAUAGGGGAGCCGAAGGGAAACCGAGUCUUAACUGGGCGUUAAGUUGCAGGGUAUAGACCCGAAACCCGGUGAUCUAGCCAUGGGCAGGUUGAAGGUUGGGUAACACUAACUGGAGGACCGAACCGACUAAUGUUGAAAAAUUAGCGGAUGACUUGUGGCUGGGGGUGAAAGGCCAAUCAAACCGGGAGAUAGCUGGUUCUCCCCGAAAGCUAUUUAGGUAGCGCCUCGUGAACUCAUCUUCGGGGGUAGAGCACUGUUUCGGCUAGGGGGUCAUCCCGACUUACCAACCCGAUGCAAACUGCGAAUACCGAAGAAUGUUAUCACGGGAGACACACGGCGGGUGCUAACGUCCGUCGUGAAGAGGGAAACAACCCAGACCGCCAGCUAAGGUCCCAAAGUCACAGUUAAGUGGGAAACGAUGUGGGAAGGCUCAGACAGCCAGGAUGUUGGCUUAGAAGCAGCCAUCAUUUAAAGAAAGCGUAAUAGCUCACUGGUCGAGUCGGCCUGCGCGGAAGAUGUAACGGGGCUAAACUGUGCACCGAAGCUGCGGCAGCGACGCUUAUGCGUUGUUGGGUAGGGGAGCGUUCUGUAAGCCUGCGAAGGUGUCCUGUGAGGGAUGCUGGAGGUAUCAGAAGUGCGAAUGCUGACAUAAGUAACGAUAA